rnacentral:tRNA from 1 species
GGAAGGGUGGCCGAGUGGUUUAAGGCAGCGGUCUUGAAAACCGCCGUGCUCGCAAGGGUACCGUGGGUUCGAAUCCCACCCCUUCCGCCA